GACAGAGGUCUCGAGCGUUAGGCGGAAUCACUGGGCUUAAAGCGUGUGUAGGCGGAGUGCUAAGUACCUUGUGAAAUCCCACGGCUUAACCGUGGAACUGCUGGGUAUACUGGUUCUCUUGGGCCACUUAGGGGCUACUGGAACAAACGGUGGAGCGGUGAAAUGCGUAGAUAUCGUUUGGAACGCCAAUGGUGAAAACAAGUAGCUGGGAGUGUGCCGACGCUGAGACACGAAAGCCAGGGGAGCGAACGGGAUUAGAUACCCCGGUAGUCCUGGCUGUAAACGAUGUCGACUAGAUCGUGGUGGCUCUGACGCUAUCACGGUCGAAGCAAAAGUGCUAAGUCGACCGCCUGGGAAGUACGGUCGCAAGGCUAAA
rnacentral:rRNA from 1 species